AUACGGAGGAUGCGAGCGUUAUCCGGAUUUAUUGGGUUUAAAGGGUGCGUAGGCUGUGCGUUAAGUCAGGGGUGAAAUGCCGUCGCUCAACGACGGAGCUGCCCUUGAUACUGGCGUGCUGGAGUACGGAUGCCGUUGGAGGAAUGAGUGGUGUAGCGGUGAAAUGCUUAGAUAUCACUCAGAACACCGAUUGCGAAGGCAUCUGACGAAUCCGUCACUGACGCUGAGGCACGAAAGUGUGGGGAUCAAACAGGAUUAGAUACCCUGGUAGUCCACACUGUAAACGAUGAUGACUCGCUGUCGGCGAUAUACAGUCGGUGGCCAAGCGAAAGCGAUAAGUCAUCCACCUGGGGAGUACGACCGCAAGGUUGAAACUCAAAUGAAUUGACGGGG
rnacentral:rRNA from 1 species